rnacentral:rRNA from 1 species
AGGAUGAACGCUAGCGGCAGGCUUAACACAUGCAAGUCGAGGGGUAUAGUAGCAAUACUAGAGACCGGCAAACGGGUGCGGAACACGUACAGAACCUACCUUGAUCUGGGGCAUAGCCCGAAGAAAUUCGGAUUAACUCCCCAUAAUAUAGAUGAGUGGCAUCACUUGACUAUUAAAAAUUAUUGGAUCGAGAUGGCUGUGCGUCCCAUUAGCUAGUUGGUAGGGUAACGGCCUACCAAGGCGACGAUGGGUAGCUGGUGUGAGAGCACGACCAGCCACACGGGCACUGAGACACGGGCCCGACUCCUACGGGAGGCAGCAGUGAGGAAUAUUGGUCAAUGGACGCAAGUCUGAACCAGCCAUGCCGCGUGAAGGAUGAAGGCCUUCUGGGUUGUAAACUUCUUUUACCUGGGAAGAAACCCCGAUUUUCUAAUCGGGUUGACGGUACCAGAGGAAUAGCACCGGCUAACUCCGCGCCAGCAGCCGC